rnacentral:rRNA from 1 species
UACGUAGGGGGCAAGCGUUAUCCGGAAUUAUUGGGCGUAAAGAGUGCGUAGGUGGUUUGGUAAGCGCAUAGGUGAAAGGCUACAGCUCAACUGUAGUAAGCCUUGCGAACUGUCAAACUUGAGUGCAGGAGAGGAGAGCGGAAUUCCUAGUGUAGCGGUGAAAUGCGUAGAUAUUAGGAGGAACACCAGUGGCGAAGGCGGCUCUCUGGACUGUAACUGACACUGAGGCACGAAAGCGUGGGGAG